CAGCUAGUUGGUAGGGUAACGGCCUACCAAGGCGACGAUGGGUAGCUGGUGUGAGAGCACGACCAGCCACACGGGCACUGAGACACGGGCCCGACUCCUACGGGAGGCAGCAGUGAGGAAUAUUGGUCAAUGGACGCAAGUCUGAACCAGCCAUGCCGCGUGAAGGAUGAAGGCCUUCUGGGUUGUAAACUUCUUUUAUGGGGGAAGAAAACUACGGUUUCUACUGUAGCCGACGGUACCCUAGGAAUAAGCACCGGCUAACUCCGUGCCAGCAGCCGCGGUAAUACGGAGGGUGCAAGCGUUAUCCGGAUUUACUGGGUUUAAAGGGUGUGUAGGCGGGCUUUUAAGUCAGUGGUGAAAUCUCCGGGCUCAACCCGGAAACUGCCAUUGAUACUAUUAGUCUUGAAUUUUGUUGAGGUAGGCGGAAUAAGUCAUGUAGCGGUGAAAUGCAUAGAUAUGACUUAGAACACCAAUUGCGAAGGCAGCUUGCUAAACAAAUAUUGACGCUGAGGCACGAAAGCGUGGGGAUCAAACAGGAUUAGAUAC
rnacentral:rRNA from 1 species